UCCGAAGUUAAGCUUGCUUUGGCGAGGUAGUACUAGGAUGGGUGACCUCCUGGUGAGUCCUCGUGUUUCAUUCC
rnacentral:rRNA from 1 species